rnacentral:rRNA from 1 species
GACGAACGCUGGCGGCGUGCUUAACACAUGCAAGUCGAACGGGUCUGCCCUGUUUUUUGCGGGGUGGGUCAGUGGCGAACGGGUGAGUAACACGUGAGUAACCUGCCCCUCACUUCUGGAUAACCGCUUGAAAGGGUGGCUAAUACGGGGUGUUCUGGCUGUGCCGCAUGGUGUGGCUGGGAAAGAUUCACUUUUGUGGUGUUUUGGUGGGGGAUGGGCUCGCGGCCUAUCAGCUUGUUGGUGGGGUGAUGGCCUGCCAAAGCUUUGACGGGUAGCCGGCCUGAGAGGGUGGGCGGUCACACUGGGACUGAGAUACGGCCCAGACUCCUGCGGGAGGCAGCAGUGGGGGGUAUUGCACAAUGGGCGGAAGGCUGAUGCAGCGACGUCGCGUGAGGGAUGGAGGCCUUCGGGUUGUGAACCUCUUUCGCCGGUGAAGAAGGUCCUGCUCUUUGUGGUGGGGUUGACGGUAGCCGGGUUAUGAAGCGCCGGCUAACUACGUG